rnacentral:rRNA from 1 species
UACGGAGGGGGCUAGCGUUGUUCGGAAUUACUGGGCGUAAAGGGCACGUAGGCGGCUUUGCAAGUCAGAGGUGAAAGCCCGGGGCUCAACUCCGGAAUUGCCUUUAAGACUGCAUCGCUAGAAUUGUGGAGAGGUAAGUGGAAUUCCGAGUGUAGAGGUGAAAUUCGUAGAUAUUCGGAAGAACACCAGCGGCGAAGGCGGCUUCUUGGGCCGUCCUUGACGCUGAGGCGCGAAAGCUGGGGGAGCAAACGGG